rnacentral:rRNA from 1 species
CAAAUGAAUUGACGGGGAGCACCACAACGGGUGGAGCUUGUCGGUUUAAUUGGAUUCAACGCCGGAAAUCUUACCGGGACCGACAGCAAUAUGAAGGCCAGGCUGAAGACUUUGCCGGAUUAGCUGAGAGGUGGUGCAUGGCCGUCGUCAGUUCGUACUGUGAAGCAUCCUGUUAAGUCAGGCAACGAGCGAGACCCACGCCCACAGUUGCCAGCGUACUCUCUGGAGUGACGGGUACACUGUGGGGACCGCCGCUGCUAAAGCGGAGGAAGGAAUGGGCAACGGUAGGUCAGUAUGCCCCGAAUAUCCCGGGCUACACGCGAGCUACAAUGGUUGGUACAAUGGGUAUCUACCCCGAAAGGGGACGGGAAUCUCCUAAAACCAAUCUUAGUUCGGAUUGAGGGCUGCAACUCGCCCUCAUGAAGCUGGAAUCCGUAGUAAUCGCGUCUCAAAAUGGCACGGUGAAUAUGUCCCUGCUCCUU